rnacentral:rRNA from 1 species
GAGGAACGCACCGCUGGUGUACCAGUUAUCGUGCCAACGGUAAACGCUGGGUAGCCAAGUGCGGAGCGGAUAACCGCUGAAAGCAUCUAAGUGGGAAGCCCACCUCAAGAUGAGUGCUCUCACCACUUUAAGUGGGUAAGGUCACCUGAAGAACACAGGUUAAUAGGCGGUAGGUGGAAGUGCAGUAAUGUAUGUAGCCGAGCCGUGCUAACAGACCGAGGGCUUGACCUCU